UCCGUUGGUGAACCAGCGGAGGGGUCAUUACCGAGUUUACAACUCCCAAACCCCUGUGAACAUACCAAUUGUUGCCUCGGCGGAUCAGCCCGCUCCCGGUAAAACGGGACGGCCCGCCAGAGGACCCCUAAACUCUGUUUCUAUAUGUAACUUCUGAGUAAAACCAUAAAUAAAUCAAAACUUUCAACAACGGAUCUCUUGGUUCUGGCAUCGAUGAAGAACGCAGCAAAAUGCGAUAAGUAAUGUGAAUUGCAGAAUUCAGUGAAUCAUCGAAUCUUUGAACGCACAUUGCGCCCGCCAGUAUUCUGGCGGGCAUGCCUGUUCGAGCGUCAUUUCAACCCUCAAGCCCCCGGGUUUGGUGUUGGGGAUCGGCGAGCCCUUGCGGCAAGCCGGCCCCGAAAUCUAGUGGCGGUCUCGCUGCAGCUUCCAUUGCGUAGUAGUAAAACCCUCGCAACUGGUACGCGGCGCGGCCAAGCCGUUAAACCCCCAACUUCUGAAUGUUGACCUCGGAUCAGGUAGGAAUACCCGCUGAACUUAAGCAUAUCAAUAAGCGGAGGA
rnacentral:rRNA from 1 species